CAGCAACACCAUCUUCUUCACAUAAACACCGGGCAACACCAUCGAUCUUCUUCAGAUUCAGAGAAUGUCUACCACGUCCCUUCAGUUCAGCACCACCCCCACUCAUUCCACUACCAGUACAACGACCAUCACCACCGUUUCCUUCUUCUUAUCCCCUGUUACAUCUAAUAAUGAUAAAUACCAAAAAUUUUGAUUAAUUUUUUAUAAGUUUCCGAUCAAAAUUAAUGAGUAUCUGGAGAAAUUAGUGAUUAUUACUGAAUUAGGUAUGAAUCAUUCUUCUAUUUCCUACUUAAGCUUCAAUUUUUCUUGAAUUCUAACUAAAUUGAAAACUUAGGGUUUCAUAAGUUUGGGGAUUUUAUUGGGUGUUUUAGAAAUUGUGUUGAAAUAUUAAAAUUUAUAGAUACUCUGGUAUGAAUUUGGUUUUCUUCCGUUUCGAGUUUUGUCACUCUAAUUUGUGUCAUCAUUGUUUAAGCAUCAAAUUUGGUUGGACUAGGAUGGGUUUAUGAUGGAGGAAGACUCUAAUAGGUUUUGUUGGCCGGAAAUUCAAUUGGAGUGGUUGUGGUUGUUGUAACAGAUGGUUGAGGAAUUUGUUGUGGUUUAAACAGAUAAAGAUGAAACUGCUGCUGGUGGUGAUGAAUUAAUGUGUAUGAAUUGACUUACAAGGAAAUAGAGAAUGUGUUCUUUCCAAGAAAUGAGAAAACAGAUGGUGAAUGAUGUUGAUAUGGUGGUACAAAAGAAGAGUUAAAGUCUGUGUUAUUGAGUUUCGGAGAUUUGAGUUGAAGAGGAAUUUGUAAUGGAUGAUCUUGAAGCCAUAGAAGAAUUUAUGGAUACUGUGGUUUGGUUAUGAAUUCAAGGGUGCAAUUGGUGAUGGUAUUGGUGGUGAUGUCGUUGCUGCUAAUGCUGAGUAGAAAGAGGGUUUUUGUUGCUUAUAUUGCAGAGAAGAAUGUGUUGGUGGUAACUCUGUGGCGGUUGUUUGUGAGAUUGGGAUGGAGGAGUGACUGUUUAGAUGUGUGCUUAGGAUUUGAAGCUGAAGUUGUUUUGGUGUUAAUUGAUUCAAGUGAACAAGAAAAUAUGGUGUUGUGUUUUGUUGGUUCCGAUAAAUGGGUAGUUGUUGGUUUGAUAGUGAGAUGAGAAGAAGACAAAGUGGAUGCUUGCUGGUGAGAUUUAACAGAUUUAGAAAAUGGUGUUGGUGGUGAUUGUAGGGAAGCAAUGGACUUCUGCAGCUACAGAUGAUACUGGUGGUAUGGAGAUAAAAGUGGAAAUGGCUGAGCAAGCAAAAAAUAAGUGCUUGUUCAUUUUAUUUUAUUUUUGCCUUAGGCAAGCAACAAGUAUGGAAGCUCCGCUCGGACUAAAGACUAGUUCUUCGUCAUGUUACUGGUGAAGGCAGAAGAGCAAGAUGCAAGCAUUAUGACAGAGAAGUAAAUGCUGCGCGGAUAUAAUUCUUAGCAGUUUGGGAAGCUAACAAUUAUCUGGUUGCAAAUCGAGUUGGUGUUCUGCAGUGGAAGUGACGGGAGCUAAUUCGGGAGUGACGUGUGUCAAAAAUGGUGACGUGGCCAUAUUGAUGACGUGUACCCAGUCAGAACUGAGUUACUACGCACUCGGCGAGUUCAAUGAUUCAAAGGGCUUAAUUGUAUUUUUAACCUACACUAACUGUGCAAAAAAGGUGGAUAACCACCGUUAGCCGUUUUUUCAAUAAAAUGGUCAAAAUCGGCCUAGAUUUGUAAAGUUCAAAAAAACAGGCCUAUGGUUGUAACCCUCAAAAAAGACAGGCCUAUAUCUGUUUUUCACCCUUAAUUGAUUGAGUCUUGUUGAUUCUCUUAAAAGUA